AAAGUGGUUCAGCUCAGCUGGUUAGAGCAAAGGACUGUAAAUCCUUGUGUCAGUGGUUCGAAUCCACAACCACUUC
rnacentral:tRNA from 3 species